CUUCGGGGUUCCUGGGUGUCACGCAAAUCCCGGAUGAGCCCCCACAUGAAAGAACCCCCAUAGGGAGACCCCCCCCGCACUCAAGUCUUGGGAUGGCGCACACCCAAGGACAACACGAAAGACC
rnacentral:pre_miRNA from 7 species